ensembl:lncRNA
AGAUGAUGUGGAAGGAAAGUGGAAGUUCCCAGUUCAAAAAGAAUCCUAGGGCAGAUCACAUUCCUCAAAAGAAUUAAGUUAAUAUCUAAUCGACUUCCUAAUUUCUAUAUGUGUUUCUCAAGGUCUUCUCAACACACAACUUCACAUUCAUAGGGUGAGAUGGUAUGACACUCGAGCGUAUUUGAGACAUAAUUCCAUUAACCUCUUGCUGAGGAUAAAGAGGGAAUUUUUUUCAGAGACAAUUUCCUAUGGAAGCAGAGUACUUAAUAUUUCAUGUAAAAACAUCAUCAACGUAUGAAUAUGUUAAAGGUAAAGAAGAUUAUGGUUAACAGACUUUAAACAGAAGACCAAAAUUACAGAUUUCAAAUUGGAAACAGACUCGUGGUCGUGUUCCUGAGAGGCCCCUGGAACUCUCAGUAGCCCUCUUCUACCCAGUACAGCGAAAUCGGGACUUUAAAACAGAAGGACCCGAGAUUUCGCGCGGCGGGCAAAACAUCUCAUCCUUGAUCGGGACGCGCCAGCCUUACCCUGACAGCUCCUCGGGUAUCC